ACUCGACUGCACGAAGCUGGAAUCGCUAGUAAUCGCGGAUCAGCACGCCGCGGUGAAUACGUUCCCGGGCCUUGUACACACCGCCCGUCACGCUAUGGAAGUCUGCAAUGCCCGAAGCCGGUGGCCUAACCACUUAUGUGGAAGGAGCCGUCUAAGGCAGGGCAGAUGACUGGGGUGAAGUCGUAACAAGGUAGC
rnacentral:rRNA from 1 species